GACGAACGCUGGCGGCGUGCUUAACACAUGCAAGUCGAACGGUAAGGCCCUUUGGGGUACACGAGUGGCGAACGGGUGAGUAACACGUGGGCGAUCUGCCCUGCACUUCGGGAUAAGCCUGGGAAACUGGGUCUAAUACCGGAUAGGACCCUGGGAUGCAUGUCCUGGGGUGGAAAGCUUUUGCGGUGUGGGAUGGGCCCGCGGCCUAUCAGCUUGUUGGUGGGGUGAUGGCCUACCAAGGCGACGACGGGUAGCCGGCCUGAGAGGGUGACCGGCCACACUGGGACUGAGAUACGGCCCAGACUCCUACGGGAGGCAGCAGUGGGGAAUAUUGCACAAUGGGCGCAAGCCUGAUGCAGCGACGCCGCGUGAGGGAUGACGGCCUUCGGGUUGUAAACCUCUUUCAGCACCGACGAAGCGCAAGUGACGGUAGGUGCAGAAGAAGGACCGGCCAACUACGUGCCAGCAGCCGCCGUAA
rnacentral:rRNA from 1 species